GGGGCGUAGCUACCCGGAGGCACGACAGCACGUGCAUCCACGUCGUUUUCACACAAAAAAAAAAAAAAAAAAAAUAACAGAAGAGAGAGAUGAGUUGGUCAAUCGGAAUCAGACAGCGUGAUGCAUGUAUUAUCAUGAUUAUGAUAUUUGUUUAACGUUUGGAGACUGUUAGUGUUGGUGUCUUUUCCGUCUAUCCUGGAUAUUAGUUUGACAACCUAGAUACAAGUGUUGAUGAAGCUGUUCAUGCAGAAAAAGAUCGUAGCUCCGCAGUUGCGUGCACAUUGAUUCGGCAUGCAAAAAAGAAAUGGCAAAAUAUUUUUUUUUUAUAAUAUUGAAUGCUAAAGGAAACACCUAUCUUGUCAUUUUUUUAAUUGAUGAAAUGUCAUUAAAUAACGACAUUUG
rnacentral:lncRNA from 1 species